rnacentral:rRNA from 1 species
UACGUAGGGGGCAAGCGUUGUCCGGAUUUAUUGGGCGUAAAGGGCGUGUAGGCGGCUUGGUAGGUCCGCUGUGAAAACUCGAGGCUCAACCUCGAGAUGUCGGCGGAAACCACUUGGCUAGAGUCCGGAAGAGGAGAGUGGAAUUCCCGGUGUAGCGGUGAAAUGCGCAGAUAUCGGGAAGAACACCUAUGGCGAAGGCAGCUCUCUGGGACGGUACUAACGCUGAGACGCGAAAGUGUGGGGAGCAAACGGG